rnacentral:snRNA from 1 species
AGAUGUGAGGGCGAUCUGGCUGCGACAUCUGUCACCCCAUUGAUCGCCAGGGUUGAUUCGGCUGAUCUGGCUGGCUAGGCGGGUGUCCCCUUCCUCCCUCACCGCUCCAUGUGCAUCCCUCCCGAAGCUGUGCGCUCGGUCAAAGAGGACGACCUUCCCUGAUAGAGGCGUACCGUUCAUCGGUCAAGGGUAUACGGUAUGCUAGACCCUCCAAACAAGCUCAAGGUCCAUUUGUAAGAGCCAUAACAGAGCUCAGAGGAAGACUCAGGAAAGAAAGGCAUAGCAGAGUGCUGUGCCAGAGGUU